rnacentral:lncRNA from 1 species
AACAGGAGAAGGUCUACACCACUGCUCAGACACCUGUCUAUAUGUACACAACCUCAUUCCUUGCAGGACUCUAGAGUACGAAGCCUAAUUUUCCAUGUUGUUCAGUCUGUGAAAUGUUCCUGAGGGUGGACUGAAAGCAAACUCUAGAAGCACUCCCACACAAAAACUGAGUAGCUUACCAACCGGACCUUCCCUACUUUGACUAGGACCUCUGGAUGAGAAAUGUUUUUGAAGACUGCUGACAAGAAGGGACAACUUAGUUAGACAUGAAUGAGAAACUGCUUCCAGAUGAGCCCUGCAUUCCUGCUGAGCUGUUUGACUUGGAGGAAUAUUUGAAGAGUAAAACAAAUGAAUGAAAAUGGUAAGUGAUGGUACUGGUCCUUGGAAGUAGCUAACAAACCUAACAGGUUUCAAUAAUAAUUUUUGCAUAGCAAAGUUUUGUUACUUUAUAUAGUGUAAGUACUUAAUUUCUUUAAUGCAAACCUCUUUUACAGACUCCUUCCAAAAUUUCACAGAAGAGGUAUGCAUAAUAAUUUGUUGAGAUAGCAAAUAAUUAGAGUCACUGAAAGAUCCAUGAAGAAAACAUUUCUGAAAAUUCUCUAAAAAUGUUAAUACACUCU